UGCUGUCCAGUUUGUAUGUGUUGUCUAAUU
rnacentral:piRNA from 1 species